rnacentral:lncRNA from 10 species
GUAGGAACUUCGCGUUCCCACCCUCCAGGGGAGGAGAUUGGAUCAGGCGCCAGCCUUGAGGUGUCUGAUUGGAGAAAAGCUGUGCAGUGCCGCUCCCCCGACCGACUCCUUGAGAAGAAACGGCGGAGACCUGAGACCCGGAGGCUGAGGCUGUAGGUGGGCUCCGCUGGGUAAAAGUUGCCGCAGCAGCUGUCCCUUGGCCCCAUCGCGAUUUAUUUUUCCCCCUUGCUUUCCGGGUCCCGGGAUCCCAAGUUUGUAACUAACGGGAGCGAAUCCACACCCGAGCAAAAUGUUUGCGAGUUUCAGGCGCCCUUAGUUGAAAGGCUGUAAUUAACAAGUCCGCUGUUUGCCAGCCAGGCGCCGUUGCAGGCGCUUUCUGUGGAUUGUCAUUUAUUUCUCACAGCAACCCUAGGAGGCUGUUAUCCUUGACAUCUGCAGCAGCCCUUCCAAGCUGUGGAGACCAGGUCAUCUGGAAUGCCCAUUUAUGUCAAUGGAAGAAAGAAAAAGGGGUCUCCUCCCAUCCUCACCACUGCAUUCUCCCACCAACCCUGCUCCUGUCCCACUUCCCACAACUCAGUUGUUGACAAUUUAACAGUGGGUUUCUGGAAACAGUGCUGCCUCCUUGAUGGUCUAACUAACUACCAGAGUUAUUCUAACAGCAGGAAUUUCAAGCCAGGUUUGUAAAACAAGAAUGAAAAACGUUGACAGUUAUUCUGCAGAUUCGCUUUUCACCAAUACAGAAAUGUGGCAAAAAUACAAUUUGAUAUUAACAGAUGAAUUCAGAGGGCUUGGCCAGGAAGAAAAGAGGCAAACCAGACAUACAUAGGAGGCACAGCAAAAGACCCAAGGUGAGGGGCUUCCCUCACCUUCACCCUUGUUCUCACGUGGAGGUGGCGCAUGUCUAUGAGACACAGUACCCCACUCAGCGAUCCUCUGCAGUCCAGGAAAUUCUAGCACUUGCUUGGAAAACAAAUCAAGUGGAUGGAGUACAGUGGUGCCAUCUUCGCUCACUGCAGCCUUCGUCUCCCGGGUUCAAGCAAUUCUCCUGUCUCAGCCUCCCAAGUAGCUGGGAUUACAGACCCAUCAAGCCUUCAGAUAAGACUGCAGCCUCAUUACAGACCUUGAACUGGAGGCAGCCAGCUGAGUCACACCUGGAUUCCUGACCCUUAGAAACUAUGAGAUAAUAAAUGUUUACAGUUUUAAGCCACUAAGUUUCG